rnacentral:lncRNA from 10 species
GCUUAGUUUUUCUAGUGUUUGUAGAGACAGAGUCUCACUAUGUUGCCCAGGCUGCUCUUAAAUUCCUGCCCUCAAGUCAUCCUCCUGCCUCGGCCUCCCAAAGUGCUAGAAUUCCAGGCACGAGUCACUGAGACUGGCAUCUUUUGUUUUAUUUUAAUUAUGUUCUUAAAUAGUGUACCUGCUGCCUCAUGAAGACAAUUACAUUGUAUUUUGGGAAAAUCAGCAGAUAGAACUCUUUUUAAAGAGAGAUUCUCCUGCCUCAGCCUCCCGAGUAGCUGGGACUACAGGCACGUGCCACUAGGCCUGGCUAAUUUUUGUAUUUUUGUGGAGAUGGGGUUUCACCAUGUUGCCCAGGCUGGUCUCGAACUGAUCUCAGGUGAUCCACCAGCUAGGGCCUCCCCAAGUGCUGAGAUUACAGACAUGAGCCACCACGCCCAGCCUAUGUAAGUUAUUUCUUAAUUCAAGUGAUUCAUUCAUCCUGUGUGCUAGAGAAGGCUUGAUUUUGAGUUGAAGAGAGCUACUGAAAAGUGAAGAAGUCAUUGGUGUGUGGAAAAGAAUAGCCUUCCUUAGUUUAUUUGAUUUU